UAUUGUUCUUCAACGAGGAAUCCCUAGUAAGCACAAGUCACUAGCUUGUGCUGAUUACGUCCCUGCCCUUUGUACACACCGCCCGUCGCUACUACCGAUUGAAUGGCUUAGUGAGGCGUUCGGAUUGGUCUUUGGAAGCUGUAAAAGGCAUCCGCUGAUCGAAAAGUUCGUCAAACUUGGUCAUUUAGAGGAAGUAAAAGUCGUAACAAGGUUUCCGUAGGUGAACCUGCGGAAGGAUCAUUAUCGAAUCUUUGGCGAACCUUAGGGUUUCGCCUUGUAUUUAAAACCUUCCACUCUUUAAAAAAAAAUCAAUUAUAAAUUAUUAUAAAAAAAAGAUCACUUUCAACAACGGAUCUCUUGGCUCUCGCAUCGAUGAAGAACGUAGCGAAGUGCGAUAAGUAGUGUGAAUUGCAGAAUUCCGUGAAUCAUCGAAUCUUUGAACGCAAAUUGCACUCUCUGGUAUUCCGGAGAGUAUGCCUGUUUGAGGGUCGGUUUAAAUAAUUAAUCGGUAUGUCGCCUUAUCACGCGGCGUGUCGGAAUUGGGUCUCUCUUAGCCUUUUUUAUGCCAAGUGACCUAAAAUUUAUUAUUUUGAUAUACCUCGGUAUGAUUACGUACUUAGUAAUUUUUGUCGUUUGAAUGUCGAAGGUAACCUAUUAGACGUGGCCAUCUCGAUGGUAUUUCGCGCCUAUAACUUUUCGAAUUUCGACCUCAAAUCAGGUAAGAGUACCCGCUGAACUUAAGCAUAUCAAUAAGCGGAGGAAAAGAAAAUAACAAUGAUUCCCCUAGUAACGGCGAGUGAAGAGGGACAAGCUCAAAUUUUAAAUCUGUUGGGUUAACCCACCAGAGUUGUAAUUUGAAGAAGCGUUUUCGCGCUCACGUCAGGCCUAAAUCUUUUGGGAUAAGGUGUCAKGGAGGGUGAGAACCCCGUAAGGCCUGGUCAUUGCGAUUACGAUACGCUUUCAAAGAGUCAAGUUGUUUGGGAAUGCAGCUUAAAAUGGGGAGGUAAAUUUCUCCUAAGGCUAAAUAUUGGCGAGAGACCGAUAGCGAACAAGUACCGUGAGGGAAAGAUGAAAAGCACUUUGAAAAGAGAGUAAAAUAGUACGUGAAAUUGUUGAAAGGGAAACGAUUGAAGUCAGUCGUACUGACGGGAAAUCAACCUUUUGAGUAUGAUCUUGUGGAUGCUUGAGAGCUUAACGGCCUCUGCGUUUUCAAGUUUGUGCUCUUGGGCGUACUUUCUCGUAUGGUAAGUUAACAUCAAUUUCGGUCGUUAUAAAAUGAUCGGAGGAAAGUAGCUUCGAUUUAUCGAAGUGUUAUAGACUCUGGUAAAUGUAACGAUUGGGAUUGAGGAUUGCAACGAAUACCCAUCAGGGCUAUCCGUCUGACCUCUGAUCGUUACCUUGGUGCCGAAAGCUUGCUUACGGUUAUUGAGGUUGAUGGUCAAAAGAUUAGAACGUGAUUAAAUUCGUUAAGGAUGUUGACGUAAUGGCUUUAAACGACCCGUCUUGAAACACGGACCAAGGAGUCUAACAUAUAUGCGAGUGUUU
rnacentral:rRNA from 1 species